UCCCUGAUGGCUCAAAUGGUAAAGCGUCUGCCUGCAGUGUUGGAGACCCAGGUUCAAUCCCUGGGUGGGGAA
rnacentral:tRNA from 1 species